CUAACUCAAAGGCUCUUCUCUGUCUGGAAGGAUCUCCCGAAUAAGAGAGAAAUCAGCCUCACACCCUCCUCAGGAACAAGUUGGUUUUAGUCUGUUCACAUCAUCAAACGUUUAUCGCUUACGAAGUUUGGAGUCCGUGCUUUGUAAACCUGGUCCUUGGAAAUCUCAGAGGUGUCAGAUGUUAUGGCUUUAAUACUCAGUGUAGAAAACAAUCUGGCAAUUUUUGCUGGCUUCAACGAGUGUAGACAUCCAUCCGUUACUUGUUUGGUGCACUAGGGAAAUGAAGUGUCCUGAGCAAGUGGUGCUUUUCCUAGUGUACAAAGAGAUGCCACAGGAACUGGGGUCUAUCAAAGUAGACAUCCCUAAUUAGACAAGACAAGAGAAGGGCAUUCCAAGUGAAAGGAAUGAUUGUGCAAGAUGUGGACUGGCAUGGUGCCCUGGGGAAAUGGUAGCCAGUUCCGUGUGCUCGGAUUGGAGGGCUCUUGGCUGAGGUGGUGCCAUGGCAAGGAGACUGCAAAGAGAGAGAGUGAGAAAGCAGAGGAACGAACGGCAGGGGGAGAGGGAGAGAGAG